rnacentral:rRNA from 1 species
CCUUAGAGUUUGAUCCUGGCUCAGAACGAACGCUGGCGGCGCGUCUUAAGCAUGCAAGUCGGACGGCAAGGGUUGUGCUUGCACAACUCCUAGAGUGGCGGACUGGUGAGUAACGCGUGGGUGACCUGCCCUCGAGAUGGGGAUAGCCAUUAGAAAUAGUGGAUAAUACCGAAUACGCUCAUGACCCUGUGGGGAUAUGAGGAAAACAGGCUACGGCCUGGCUCGAGGAUGGGCCCGCGUCCGAUUAGCUAGUUGGUGGGGUAACGGCUCACCAAGACUGCGAUGUCUAGGGGUUCUGAGAGGAAGGUCCCCCACACUGGAACUGAGACACGGUCCAGACUCCUACGGGAGGCAGCAGUGAGGAAUAUUGGUCAAUGGACGCAAGUCUGAACCAGCCAUGUCGCGUGCAGGAUGACUGCCCUAUGGGUUGUAAACUGCUUUUAUAUUGGAAGAAUUGCGCUUACGAGUUAAGCGUUUGACGGUACAUUAUGAAUAAGGAUCGGCUAACUCCGUGCCAGCAGCCGCGGUAAUACGGAGGAUCCGAGCGUUAUCCGGAUUUAUUGGGUUUAAAGGGUGCGUAGGCGGAAAUGUAAGUCAGUGGUGAAAUCCUGCAGCUUAACUGUAGAAUAGCCGUUGAAACUGUGUUUCUUGAGUACAUUUGAGGUAGGCGGAAUGUGGUGUGUAGCGGUGAAAUGCAUAGAUAUACCACAGAACACCGAUUGCGAAGGCAGCUUACUAAACUGUCACUGACGCUGAUGCACGAAAGCGUGGGUAUCAAACAGGAUUAGAUACCCUGGUAGUCCACGCUGUAAACGAUGAUUACUGGUUGUUUGCGAUACACUGCAAGUGACUGAGCGAAAGCAUUAAGUAAUCCACCUGGGGAGUACGUCGGCAACGAUGAAACUCAAAGGAAUUGACGGGGGCCCGCACAAGCGGAGGAACAUGUGGUUUAAUUCGAUGAUACGCGAGGAACCUUACCUGGGUUUAAAUGGGGAGUGACAGGCUUGGAAACAGGCCCUUCUUCGGACACUCUUCAAGGUGCUGCAUGGUUGUCGUCAGCUCGUGCCGUGAGGUGUCGGGUUAAGUCCCAUAACGAGCGCAACCCCUAUCGAUAGUUACCAGCACGUUACGGUGGGGACUCUAUCGAGACUGCCGGUGUAAACCGUGAGGAGGGUGGGGAUGACGUCAAAUCAGCACGGCCCUUACAUCCAGGGCUACACACGUGUUACAAUGGCCGGUACAAAGGGCAGCUACACAGCGAUGUGAUGCUAAUCUCCAAAUCCGGUCUCAGUUCGGAUCGAAGUCUGCAACCCGACUUCGUGAAGCUGGAUUCGCUAGUAAUCGCGCAUCAGCCAUGGCGCGGUGAAUACGUUCCCGGGCCUUGCACACACCGCCCGUCAAG